rnacentral:sRNA from 1 species
AAGACUCCGUCUCAAAAAAAACAAAAACAAAAACUAUCUUCAAUUAUUUUAAGACCCAGCAUUUGAAUACCUUUCGGCGGGGGUUGGGGGGUGGUUUGUAAGCUGUAGAAAAUGGCUGUGUGAAAUAGCCAUAUAAAUAGAGUGAAAUAGAAUUGGGAAAAUUUUCUUUCAAAGUGAAUGUCAGGUAUAUCUUUAUCUCGUUCUUCAAAUUAAAAUUAAACUUAAAAUGUUUAAAUUGGUAUUGAAAUGAAUGUGUAAUACAAGUCACAUGUAAUAGAGCACACUUGUAUGGAGAAUCAUCCCCGUGUGAAUAUCUAAGAAGGUAAGCAGCUUGACUACUGAAUACAAGUGAAUUUUAGGUGAACUUGCAUUUCCCGUGUGUGACAUGUUUGUUUGGUUUUUCAGAUCUUACCAAUAUAUUUGAGUCCUUCCUGCCUCAGUUGUUGGCCUAUCCUAACCCCAUAGAUCCUCUCAAUGGUGACGCUGCAGCCAUGUACCUCCACCGACCAGAAGAAUACAAGCAGAAAAUUAAAGAGUACAUCCAGAAAUACGCCACGGAGGAGGCGCUGAAAGAACAGGAAGAGGGUACCGGGGACAGCUCAUCGGAGAGCUCUAUGU